rnacentral:rRNA from 1 species
AUUGAACGCUGGCGGCAUGCCUUACACAUGCAAGUCGAACGGCAGCACGGGAGCAAUCCUGGUGGCGAGUGGCGAACGGGUGAGUAAUAUAUCGGAACGUGCCCAGUCGUGGGGGAUAACGUAGCGAAAGCUACGCUAAUACCGCAUACGAUCUAUGGAUGAAAGCGGGGGAUCGCAAGACCUCGCGCGAUUGGAGCGGCCGAUAUCAGAUUAGGUAGUUGGUGAGGUAAAGGCUCACCAAGCCGACGAUCUGUAGCUGGUCUGAGAGGACGACCAGCCAAACUGGGACUGAGACACGGCCCAGACUCCUACGGGAGGCAGCAGUGGGGAAUUUUGGACAAUGGGCGCAAGCCUGAUCCAGCAAUGCCGCGUGCAGGAUGAAGGCCUUCGGGUUGUAAACUGCUUUUGUACGGAACGAAACGGCGAGCUCUAAUACAGCUUGCUAAUGACGGUACCGUAAGAAUAAGCACCGGCUAACUACGUGCCAGCAGCCGCGGUAAGAC